UUGGAGGGCAAGUCUGGUGCCAGCAGCCGCGGUAAUUCCAGCUCCAAUAGCGUAUAUUAAAGUUGUUGCAGUUAAAAAGCUCGUAGUUGAAUUUCGGGAUCAAUUUAUUGGUCGUGCCAACGGUACGCACUGGUACAAUUGGUUUCUCCCUUCUGACGAAGCAUGAUGUCAUUAAUUUGAUGUCGUGGGGAAUCAGGACUGUUACUUUGAAAAAAUUAGAGUGUUUAAAGCAGGCUUUGGCUUGAAUACAUUAGCAUGGAAUAAUGAAAUAGGACGUUUGAUCUUAUUUCGUUGGUUUCUAAGAUCGACGUAAUGAUUAAUAGGGAUAGUUGGGGGCAUAGUAUUCAAUUGUCAGAGGUGAAAUUCUUGGAUUUAUUGAAGACUAACUACUGCGAAAGCAUUUGCCAAGGAUGUUUUCAUUAAUCAAGAACGAAAGUUAGGGGAUCGAAGACGAUCAGAUACCGUCGUAGUCUUAACCAUAAACUAUGCCGACUAGGGAUCGGAUGAUGUUAAUUUUUUAAUGACUCAUUCGGCGCCUUACGGGAAAC
rnacentral:rRNA from 1 species